rnacentral:rRNA from 1 species
CCUACGGGAGGCAGCAGUAGGGAAUCUUUCACAAUGGGCGAAAGCCUGAUGGAGCAACGCCGCGUGCAGGAUGAAGGCCUUCGGGUUGUAAACUGCUUUUAUAAGCGAGAAAUAUGAUGGUAACUUAUGAAUAAGGAUCGGCUAACUACGUGCCAGCAGCCGCGGUCAUACGUAGGAUCCGAGCAUUAUCCGGAGUGACUGGGUGUAAAGAGUUGCGUAGGUGGCAUAAUAAGUAGCUAGUGAAAUCUGGUGGCUCAACCAUUCAGACUAUUAGCUAAAAUGUUAAGCUCGAGACCGUUAGGGGUAACUGGAAUGUCUAGUGUAGGAGUGAAAUCCGUAGAUAUUAGAAGGAACACCAAUAGCGUAGGCAGGUUGCUGGGACGGUUCUGACACUAAGGCACGAAAGCGUAGGGAGCAAACGGGAUUAGAUACCCUUGUAGUC